GUGGUCACUUCGGCAGCAUGUAUACUAAAAUUGGAACGAUACAGAGAUUAGCAUGGCCCCUGCACAAGAAUGACACACAAAUUCGUGAAGCCUUCCAUAUUUUU